UGUUUCAGUGUCAGUUUCAAGUUGUUUCAAGCGCUCGGCAACAUUCUAGCGUUUAGUCCAAGUGCUUUUUGAAUCUUUUCUUUGUUUUUUUCUGACCUUAUCUUGGACUUUUGAUGUCUGCCUUCCUCACCACCCUAUUUACUGACCUGAGGUGACUUUGGCUUGAUUGAAGUGAGAAAUGCAGCCAUAACCACCAUGGCCACAGUGAGGAGACCACACCACACCUGCAGCAGCAGGACAGCAGUUAGCAUACAGGACUCUCUGUGGAAAGACCAGUGAUCCUUGCUGAAGUGAGGAGAAGGAGACGGGCCUAGAUCUAAGCAACCAGUAGCAGAAAAGACGAUACAAGUAAUCCCCAGUAAGAUGGAGAAGCUAACAGAGGGAGUAUCGAGUGUGUAGCAUCACUGAGACAUGGUUGAAUGAACUCACUUCGGACUCGCUGGUAACUCUGGACAGUAUUCUACUUGUAACAGACAGCAAAGGAAACCUCCAUGGACCACAGGCCAGAGUUCAAACCGGGUCACUGCAGGAAGGACUCAUACCUGGGACUCUACCAGUUGGGCAACCAGGGCGCCCCUAAUUAUGAGUAUUUUUCUUAUCCACCUUGUACAUUGUGAGCUGUUGUAACAUGUGAAUUUCCCCAGUGUGGGGUUAAUAAAGUAUCUUAUCUCGGAGGAGAACCUGCUCCCUCUGUGCAUAUAAAGGACUCAUCUGUUUGGCAUUUCCACUACAGACACUACUGCAGACCCUACUCUCUGGGUUGUUGUCGGGGCUUCAGGCCUAACCUCUUAAUUUUUCCAACAAUUAGGCAAAAACAGAUGAGAAUCUUCUGCAUUUUUUAACUGAUGCAUACAUUCACUGCCAGAUUUACAACUUAAUGCUCGUGUUUUCCACUGCGCUGUGCCUUCACAGCUCACCUACACACAAAAUACAUGUCGUUUACUAGGCUGCAACAGGCUGCAGCGAGAAAGACAAAACGCCGGUGAAACAAACACAAGUGUUUUGGAAAUUCUACAUCAGACAGGACGAGACAGCUCUGUGGUUAGCAGUGUUUCUAUAGCUGCACCUCCUUGUCCCGGUUCAGCUUGUGGUUCUAUUGGUACCAUCUAGAGGUUUUGAUAAUGGAAAUGGAAAAAAUGUGCAACAAACUAACCUGAACUGAACUAAAUUACUUAGUGGAAACAGGGUUUUAAAUCGUAUACACUGGACCUUUAAGUUACUGUGUCAGGCCCUAACAUUACUGAUUUCACAAAGAACAAAGAUUGUCCUCUCCUUGACUUGCCCUCAUUAAUCAAACUACAACCUCUUAGUCUUAUAUUGUGACCCUUAGGAGGGUCCCGACCCCCAGUUUGUGAAACAUUGGACCAUAUGGAUAUAUGUAAUAUGUCAUAGGAACCAGUUUUCUACACAUCUCAUACUAGUUUUGGAGAAUGUUGCUUUGACCUUAUUAUCGCCUGCAUCAUAUCAAAUAUGCACACAUUAUGUGUGUUAUAAAACCUUUAAAUUUCCUUUUGACUUUACUUUCUUCUUGUUCAGACUUUCAGUUGUUGGAAUUUAAAGUAGUGUGGGUGUAUUUGCA